rnacentral:rRNA from 1 species
GACGAACGCUGGCGGCGUGCUUAACACAUGCAAGUCGAACGGAAAGGCCCUGCUCUUGUGGGUUGCUCGAUUGGCGAACGGGUGAGUAACACGCGAGUAACCUGCCCUUGACUGUGUGAUAACUUCUGGAAACUGGGGCUAAUAUCGGAUAGGAGCUCCUGCUGCAUGUUGGGGGUUGGAAAGUUUCGGCUGUUGGGGAUGGACUCGCAGGUUAUGAGCUUGUUGGUGGGGUAGUGGCUUACCAAGGUUUUGAGGGGUAGCCGGCAUGGGAGGGUGACCGGCGACAUGGGGACUGAGAUACGGCGCAGAAUCGUACGGGAGGCAGCAGGGGAGAAUAUGGCACAAUGGGCGGAAGCGUGAGGCAGCAACGCCGCGAGCGGAAUAACGGCCUACGAGUUGAGAACAGAUUUCGAAGGUGACGAAGAGUGAGUGACGGUAAUGGGUAAGAAAGCACCGGCUAACUACGUG